GAUGAAGAACGCAGCGAAAUGCGAUAAGUAAUGUGAAUUGCAGAAUUCAGUGAAUCAUCGAAUCUUUGAACGCACAUUGCGCCCGCCAGUAUUCUGGCGGGCAUGCCUGUUCAAGCGUCAUUUCAACCAUCAAGCCCCCGGCUUGUGUUGGGGACCUGCGGCUGCCGCAGGCCCUGAAAACCAGUGGCGGGCUCGCUAGUCACUCCGAGCGUAGUAAUACAUCUCGCUCAGGGCGUGCUGCGGGUUCCGGCCGUUAAAAAGCCUUAUUUACCCAAGGUUGACCUCGGAUCAGGUAGGAAGACCCGCUGAACUUAAGCAUAUCAAUAAGCGGAGGA
rnacentral:misc_RNA from 1 species